AUUCAUGUUCCAUCUUGAUAUUUAGUACAAUGUUUUUACAAAUAACAAUAAUACAUGAAUUGCCUUAACAGAUAGGCAUAUGAUACAACAAGUAAACUAGGUCACCUGUAAUCAAAUCUGUCUUGAAUGUCUGUUUAAAGAUUUCUUGAGAAUACAUGUAGUUUUGAGGGUCAACAAAAGGUUGACGAGUGUUACAGGUUUUCUGCUACUGCAGUAAUACUUUUAAUAAGUCUAAAAAGUAUUAUCUUUGUAUGUAUAACAAUAGUUAAAACAAUGUUUGCAAUGAGUCUUUAAAAGCCCAAAAUGUAUUUCGGUGUAAGUAAAUCUAUACUUUAAAAUGUGUUUGUAAUAAAUCCUUAAAAUCCAAAAUGUAUCUUUUGUAUAAGUAAAUACAUACUUUAAACUGUGUUCGUAAUAACCUUUGAAUAUUCUUGAAAACCAAACUGUUAUGUUACAUAAGUAAUUUCAUACUUAAAAAUAGUUUUGAAAGCAACUAAGCCCAUGGUUGUUAGUGAGAGAGAGAUAUUCUAGUUAAUGUUUUUAGUGAGUCCUAGAACCGAACUACCUAACUGAAUGUACCCCCUACAACGCUUCAUUGGACGUUGUACUAACAAUGGUAGAUACUUAUCACCCGCUUCGAUUAACCGGUCGAGAGUUGUAGCUAGCAACCACAGGUGGGGAUGUCAACCCCGUAUAGAUCUAUACAUAUGUAUCUCGCUCUGAAGAUUAACGAUUACAAUAUUGUGGGUAUGCUAAGUAUUUAAACUCAGCUAAUGAAUAAUGUCCUACUAAAAAAACCCUUAACUAAAAAAAGUUUAUGAAGAACUCUCGACCCAAACUUAAUUGUGAUUGGGUCAGUAGACAUAAUGAAUAUCGUUGUCUAGAGUUUAUAAAAGCCGAGUAUGUUUGAUAUGUAUGUAAAAGUGUAAUGUACUCGCUUUUAUAAAGAUGUAUGUUUCGAAGUAAUGAAGACAUGUACAUGUAUAAACGUUAUGUAUUUAAACAUAUAAAUAAACAUGCACAAUAAUAGUUUGAAUCCUUGAAAUACUACAAAAUUGACAAUGUCACAUAAAAAUCAUAUAUUUUAUAUCAUGUAGUAUUUUUUUGUGUGAACUAGUUAUUUCACGAUAAAAUAACCAUAAUACGUAUACGGAAAGUUUAUGCUAGUUUAUCUGUAACAAUAUGGUAAAUUGUUAAAUAAUAAUAUUUUUAUAAACUAGAAUUAUUGUAUUUUCGCAUAAAAAGAAAAUUGAUUUGUAUAACCAAAAUAUNAAAAUAUUUAGGUACAUGUGUUCCCCUCCGAAAUAAUUAAAAUAUUAAAAAGGGGUCGAAAGCACUCACUUUUGUAACGUGAACGAGGCUCGCGUUGUGAAACUUUUCAUGAAAGUUGUUACGUGACGUUCCUUGUCUUAAAGCGAACCACCGACUAUAUUUAUAUUUCCUAAUAAACCAAAGGGGUAGUUUUGAUAUUAAUUAUUAAGUAUAUGGUGGUCCUUGUUAAAAUAAAUAGACUCUAGAGUUUGAUUUUGCCAAAAUCAUACUUCAGGGACUAAUAUUGCGAAUUAUUCCCAUAACAGGGGUUAAACAUGUGCAUUUGAAUCUGAUUUGGAGCUCCAGGACUUAUUCUGUUAGGGUUUUCAGAUGGAGGGGUUGUUUCUGGAUAAAUUGAAUCACUUUUUUGGGAUUGGGACCUAUUUGAAUAAAUAAUUUAACAGUGGGGGUAGUUUAGUCAUUUCAUAAUUAAAAAUGCCUUAGGGUUUUAAGUCCCGUGUUUAAUGGUCCACUUAAAAGGAAUUAGGGCUUUACCCCGUUUCUUUUGUUCUGAUCGGGCAUCUGAAGCAAAGGUGAUACGAAUCGUUCAAGGAAGUCACGAGGGAAACAGAUGAACGGGAGAAACACGAAGGGAAUCAAGCAUUUGCCGCCGGUCGAUGAUUGAUCGUGAAGAAGGUAGAGCGCGCCGGCAGGCGAGAAGGAGGCACGAAGAUGGCUGCGAGGUCCGAUAGAUUUCGAUCGGUUGCAGGCUGAGGUUGCGUUUCCGAUGUUUCGGUCGAUCCGAAGGAAGAGAAGAGACGGCAGCAGAGGGUUCUCUCUUUCCCGUCCGGCUGCUAGAUGCGAGGAAAGAUGAGGUCCGAAGAGACGUAGGUAAGAGAAGCGAGCCGUGCUUUUCUCGUCCGACUGCGAGGUGUGAUGAGCGGCGUCGCAAACAGCGGUAGCAACAAGAGGAUACCCUUGAAGCUCUGUGGUUGACGGGAAUCGUAGAGAAGGAAAACGAAGGGAAAAGGCUCGAUCCUUGUCUGGCCGGUCCAAGAGAGAUGGAAACGAUCGCAGGUAUGCGAUUUGUUGAAGAAAAAGGGGUAACCGGAGGCAGUCAAGGUUUCGGUGGUGCUGGAUCGCUGGCACCGGUGAUGGAGUUCGGUACCAACUGAAGCUAUAAUGGUGAUCGGAAGUGAACCAGGUGGUGGUGGCUAGGAUUUUUCAACAACAGCAGCAGUCGUCGGUCAAGAGAAAGAGGUCGGGGGAUAAGAGGGGGCUGGCGCCUCCGGUGUUUGCUCCGGGGAAAUAUAGAGGGUAGAGGGAACAUUGAGUGGGUGAUAGAGGGGAGAGCUUCGGCAACAACAGUGGGGGCAGGUUGAAGAAAGAGUGCAGGUUAUAUUUUUAUGGGUUCCAGCUGGAUUUGUACAAUUGUGUUGGAGUGUUGUAUUGCCUAAUCCCUUUGAGUGUGUAAGUCAUCAAAACAAAAUGUAGAAGUAAUUUAUUUAUUUAUUUGUAUUUGGUGUGAAAUUUGGAAUUAUGAAUUUUUCCAUCUAUUAUGUGUAUAUUUUGUGUAUUUAGCUGUAUAUUUGAUCCAAUGGAUAUGUAUUGGUGUAUGUAUUCUUGAGAAAUUACAUAGGUUCAAUAAUUAUGUUUUUUGUGUAUGAAUUCAUGCAUUAUUUAAAAAAGGGAUAAU
rnacentral:lncRNA from 1 species